rnacentral:rRNA from 1 species
UACGGAGGAUGCGAGCGUUAUCCGGAUUUAUUGGGUUUAAAGGGUGCGUAGGCGGCCUUGUAAGUCAGCGGUGAAAUUUUGCAGCUCAACUGUAAAAGUGCCUUCGAUACUGGCUUCCUUGAGUGUGGAUGAAGUAGGCGGAAUUUGUGGUGUAGCGGUGAAAUGCUUAGAUAUCACGAGGAACUACGAUUGCGCAGGCAGCUUACUAAACCACUACUGACGCUCAUGCACGAAGGCGUGGGGAUCAAACAGGAUUAGA